AUGAAUACAGAUUCAGUUGUCAUAGAGGAAGACAUCAAAGAAGAUGAAGCACAAGAGGAAGAAAAUGAAGCAGAAGAAGUAGUCGUUCGUCCUAGGAGGAAGUUGACAUCUCCUGUUUGGAAGGAGUUUAAGAAAGUAAAAGUGAAGAACAUGAUGAAGGCCAAGUGUAACUGGUGCUCAAAGAAGCUUGGAGGGGAAACAAGAAAUGGAACGAAGCAUCUCCUUGACCAUUUAAAGAUAUGUCCAUAUCGCAAGAGGCCUGCGGAUACCAAGAAGCAAACUUCUUUGAGGUAUAGUUCGAAUGUACAAGGUGGGAAAGUUGCUGUAGAGAACUAUACUUUUGACCAGGAUGUUGCUAGAAAGGCUCUUGGUUCCAUGUUUCUUCUCCAUGACUAUCCUCUGUCAAUUGUUGAUCACAUUGGGUUUAGAAAAUUUGUUUCUGCACUCCAGCCAUUAUUUAAGAUGGUGAGAAGAAAUACUAUUAGGAGUGACAUCUUAGAUAGCUAUAAAAUUGAAAAGAAGAGGGCUAUCAACUACAUGGAGAAAAAUAAAAGCAGGGUGGCUAUCACUACAGAUAUGUGGACGUCUGAACAUCAGAAAAGAGGCUACAUGGCUAUCACAGCACAUUUCGUUGAUGAAUCCUGGAAGCUUCAGAGCUAUAUUAUGAGAUUUAUUUAUGUUCCAGCACCACACACAACUCGUGUAAUUGCCGAGAUACUUCAUGAUGCACUGGUCGAAUGGUAUCUGGAAGAUAAGGUAUCUACAUUGAUUGUUGAUAAUGCCACAACAAAUGAUGCUUGCAUUCCCAUAUUAGAGAAUCUGAUAGGUCCAAGUAAGCUUAUGUUAGGUGGCAAGCUUUUACAUAUGCGUUGUUGUGUGCAUAUUCUUAACCUGAUAGUCAAGGAUGGUUUGGAUGUGUUAGAAGAAUCGGUUGAGAAAAUCCGUGAUAGUGUUGCAUUCUGGACUAGCACACCUAAGAGAAUAGAGAAUUUUCAAGAGGUUGCCAAGAUGCUGAAAGUAGACCAAAGUAAAAAAUUAUCCCUUGAUGUGAAAACACGAUGGAACUCUACGUACUUUAUGCUCAGUGUUGCUUUACGCUACAAGAGUGUAUUUAAUCGCUUGAGGCAGCGGGAAAAGACCUUUACUUGUGCUCCUAGUGAUGAUGAUUGGAAAUUUUGUGGAGAAGUCUGUGAUAGGCUUAAGUUGUUUGCUGACAUUACUGAAAUAUUUUCUGGGACUCAGUAUGUGACUGCUAAUAUUUACUUCCCUAAGAUCUGUGAAAUUAAAAUGAAUAUAAGGAAGUGGUCGAAGUGUGGGAAUGAAAUUAUAGAAGCUAUGUCAGAUGCUAUGAGUGCAAAAUUUGACAAGUACUGGUCUGAUAUCCAAGGUCUCAUGGGUAUUGCUACACUCCUUGAUCCACGGUUUAAGAUUGAUAUGCUGCAUGUGUGCUUUGAAAUGCUCCUUGGUGAUGAGUCCAUUAUUGAUUGUGAGAGUAAAGUUCAUGAGAUCCAUGAGUUAGUGUCUAGCCUGAUGCUUGAAUAUCAAAUGGAGAGUGAGCAAGAGAAUACAGAAGCCCAGUCUGUGUCCAUUUCUGUAAUGGAAGCUAACGAGGUGAUGUCCAUCUUCAGUGCACGAGUAGCUAGAAAGAGGCCUGCAACCAGUUUAUCCAGAACAGAGUUAGACCGCUACUUGGAUGAUGAGUAUGUGCCAGCUAAUCAAGAGAAUUUUGAUGUGUUGGGAUGGUGGAAUGUUGCUGGUUCACGCUACCCAACUUUGAGGGCUAUUGCGCGUGAUAUAUUUGCCAUCCCAGUAACUACAGUAGCUUCCGAGUCAGCUUUCAGUAGAAGUGGAAGAGUACUUAGUGAGCACCGUAGUCGUCUGACCCCUGAUUUGCUAGAGGCUUUAAUGUGUUCACAAAACUGGGAGAGAAACAAAGCUAAAGGUUUGCACAUUUCUCUAUCAUUUGAUCCUUUAACCAUUUCUAUUUUCUAG
rnacentral:rRNA from 1 species